rnacentral:lncRNA from 1 species
UUUUUGGGCUGCACCUACAGUACACGGAGGUUCCCAGGAUAGGGGUCUAAUCCGAGCUACAGCUGCUGGCCUAUACCACAGCCACAGCAACGCCAGAUCCAAGCUGUGCCUGUGACCUACACCACAGCUCACGGCAACACCAGAUCCUUUAACCCACAGAGUGAGGCCAGGGAUGGAACCUGCAACCUCAUGGUUCCUAGUUGGAUUUGUUUCCACUGCACCACUAUGGGAACUCCCUUAAGCAUAAAUUUAAAUAGUUGAAAAGAAUAUAAUUUUCAGGGUAUUGACAUUUAAAAAUUUUUCCAUUACUCUACUCAAUGAAAUUUGAAUAACAAUUUUAUAACAUUAUCCUUUAAAGAUAUACAUGGACAAGCUUUUUUCUAAUAGGAGGAAAUUUUGUUAUCAUUCCUUUUUCUCCCCAAACUCAUAUUUCCACUCCAUUUUCCCCAGAUAAUUUUAUCCAAAUAUAUUUUAUGCUUGAAAGUCUUUUGCUGAUCAUCCUAUCAUACUUUUGUUUGUUGUGUUGUAAUUUGUAUUUCCUGUGAUCAUAGGUUCAAAAUAUUAGCAAAAACAUCCUUCUGGAUUUACUUAUCAUUAUUAUUAUACUCCAUUAUUAAAUAUAAACAUAGAACACUAUUAGAACUACCCACAUCUGCGGCAUAUGGAAGUUAGGGGCUAGGGACUGAACCUGUACCACAACAGUGACCCAAGCCACUACACUGACAAUGCUGGAUCCUUAACCAGCGGUGCCACAAGAGAACUCCUACAACUACAUCUUUUUAACCAACAAAAAAUUUAAAAAAUAGUUUAGAUGUUAGUACUAAGAAGACUUGUUCACAGAAGAAUGAACACUGUCUCAUAGCAAUGUUAUGCAACUUUUUAAGAAUCUUUCCAAGUUAUUAUGUCAAAUAUUACACAGUGAUCUGAAAGCAAAAUUAUUUAAAAUUAUCACUAAAACUCAAUUCAAUCCUCCUUCAAUUUUUUUGAGAGCAAAGCAUUGGAAACCACCUGACCAAUAUAGACACUGGAGAAAUUCACUAUCUCAAUUUCUGGGAAACAUAUCAAAAAGUCUUUACCAGAAUUUUUUUUUUUUUUUUGUAUUUUCAGGGCUGCAUCUGCAGCACAUGGACGUUCUCAGGCUAGGGGUGGAAUCGGAGCUGCAGCUGCCAGUCUAUUCCACAGCCACGGCAACACCAGAUCUGACCCUUAUCUGCGACCUACACCACAACUCACAGCAACACUGGAUCCUUAACCCACUGAGCGAGUCCUGGGAUUGAACCUGUGUCCUCAUGAAUACUAGUUGGGUUUGUUACUGCUGAGCCAUGAUGGCAACUCCAAGAAUUUACUAAAUGGGUAAUAAUUAUAGCAUUCUUAAUAUUAAAUUAUUAAAUAAAUAUUUAUUACUUAUUAAUUAAUUAAUACAGACCAUCUACCAAAAUUCUUUUGUGUUCACCAAAUUCAACUUCCCUUGCAGCUUCUUAGGGCCACAUGAUUAGGCACUGACCAGUGAAUAGUGAGCAGGAAUAAUGUGCUUCUGAGUAAGCUGGUGAGCUUCCCCUCUGCCCCAGCAACACUGGAAACCAUGAAUUUCAGAUGGCAAAACUCUAAGUUGGAGGGCCAGCUGACUCCAUUAGCUCUUGUAUGGACAGCAGAUGUAUAUAAAGCCACUAUGUUUCCAGGGUGUGGAAACGUUGUAAUGUGUCAGCUAGACUAAGCUGAACUACAUUUCCCUGAAUUCUGUUCCUCUAUGAUUCUGAUCAGGGUGAGCCACAAGAGAGACUUGUGUGGGCAUUGGAGAGUGGAAGUGAAACUGUAGUCAUUUAGUGGCCCAUAUACACUGUCGCUGAUCUGCCUGCUCACUCACCUCGGGGGUGUGAGGAAUGGCUGUGUCUACCAUCACUUCCUCUUCCCCUGGAGGCUCCUUCAACUUUUCUGAUUCCUGGGCCAAGUGGGUGUGUUCAGCUCUGUAACAAAGGGCUCCAGCCUUUGCAGGACAUCCACCAAGGUCAGGGGCAACAGGAACUGACACAGGUUGUGUCUGUCCUCAUGGACUCCAGUUUGGCUGAUGCCUGCUCUUCCCCACCUUAUAUCCAUCUUCCCUUCCUGACUGCCUGCCCUAUGGACUUUAAGAUCCAGCAUCAACUGCAAAGACAACAACCUUACAGAGACUGCUUAAAUAGAUUUGACAAUUAUGAGGUCAACUCUUUUGUUUAAAAAAAAAAAAAAAAAAAAGCCGUUUAAGAACACUCUUACCGGUUCUGCUUCUCUGGCUGAAUUCUGACUGAUACAUGAGUUAAUCUGCUAUGAAUUCAACUUUUCUUUACUCUUUCAUUUGGUGGUAUCUUACGUAAACUGAUAAAUUUAAAAAAAGGGUUGAGAAGAUACAAAUAUUAAUUUCAAUACACAUGCCAGUACAUUGUUGUGGCUGUGGUGUAGGCCGGCAGCUGCAGCUCUGAUUCCACCCCUACCAUGCUGUGGGCGUGGCCAUAAAAAGCAAAAAAGAAAAAAAGAAAAGAAAAAAAAAAGAAAAAAUACACAUGCCAAUAAAUUAAUUGAGGAAAUGUUUUUCCUUAUGUAUUUUAAAUGCAUUUUCCUAGAAAUUGUGAAACUAAAGAUUUACCUCAUCUAACACUUAUUAUUGGCACUAUCAAAACAGCCAAGUAAGACUCUCAGAAAAGUCUACCUUUCUCAGUUCAUAAAUAUGCUCACAUGUAUUUCGUAACUGCCUUCCCACCCCCCUGACCCUGGAUUCUAUAGAUGGAUGGAUAAGGCAUGAAACCUUGUCAAAGGGGGCUGCCACCUUCAAUACUUUUUUUUUUUUUUAAGGCCUCACCUGCGGUACAUGGACAUUCCCAGGCUAGGGGUCUAAUGGGAGCUGUAGCCAUUGGCCUAUGCCACAGCCACAGCAAUGCUGGAUCCUUAAGCCACUGAGAGAGGCCAGGGACUGAACCUGCAACCUCAUGGUUCCUAGUCGGAUUCGUUAACCACUGAGCCAUGAUGAGAACUCCUUCAAUACUUCUUAACAACAUUCUCUUUCCUUUGGUUUCACAAGAUUCUCCCUCAAGAGACUUUCAUUCUCUGAUGUUAGUUGGGAAUGAGUCAACAUUUCACUGCACUAUCCUCUUCUAAAACAAUCUGAAUUCAGAAAACUCAGCACAGGUCAAAACAUACUAUUUUAAAAUGCUGCUCUUUACCUUCAAAAGUAUUCAUAAAAAAGGGAAAGACACAAAGCUCUAUCAAGGGUUUACAGGGCCUAGAUUAAAAGAGAACUGCGUUCAGUAUUUUGAACGAGCUCUUUUUUGGGGCGGGUACCUUUAUUAGUUGUCUAUUGCUGUGUAAAAAAAAAAAAACCUCAAAAUUUGUCAGGUUAAAAUGACAAUUGUUUAUUAUCUCACACAGUCUCUGUGGGUCAGGGAUCCAAGAGUAGCUUGGAUGGGUGAUCCUGGCUCAGGAUCUCUCAUGAGGUUAAGAACUGAAUGGGGCUACUGUCAUCUGAAGGACUGACUGGGGCAGGAUGGCUCACUCAUAGGCCUGGAAAGUUAGUGCUGAUUGUUGGCAGGUGGCCUCAGUUCCUCACCACAUGGACAUCCCAUAGGGCUGCUCAAGUGUCAUCAUGACACGGCAGCUUGCUUCCUCCAGAGCGAGUAACCCGAGGGAGAGAGCAAAGAGGAACCCACAAGUCUAUGAUCCAGUCUUGGAGGUCACAUACUCUCACAUCUGCCACUCUCUCUUUUGAGAAAAUUUAAAUAUUAACUGGUAACAGGUAUUAAGUACUAAGGGGUAAAGACAAGUCUAAAGGAUACAGAAAUAAUCGUUACAGGGAAUAGCCACUACGUAUAGGGUGAGGCUGAAUACUCAAGGAAGGACAAUUUUGAAAGAGCCUUCUCACCUCCACUGUUAGCUUGGAUUCAGACUUCACUAGAAAGAGGACAGUUAUGGCCUGUUGGAUGGUGAAGUGUGUGUGCGCUGAGAGAGGGAUAACAGUUCUGCAGACUAUUUGCUGCCGUGUGCCACCACAAGGGCAAGAAGGAAAAGAAAAUAUUCUGGAAUGAGGAAAAGAAGACUCUUCAUUUGGCUGCUUCCCUCUAGGUCUCUGUAUUGACAGCAGUCAACACUGUGCCAGCUGGCAGGGGAGAAAUACUUACAGGGCCCUACUCCAGUAUUUCAAAGAAUGGAAAAGAAGGGUGGAUUUGGAA